rnacentral:rRNA from 1 species
AUUGAACGCUGGCGGCAGGCUUAACACAUGCAAGUCGAACGAUGAUUAUCUAGCUUGCUAGAUAUGAUUAGUGGCGGACGGGUGAGUAACAUUUAGGAAUCUGCCUAGUAGUGGGGGAUAGCUCGGGGAAACUCGAAUUAAUACCGCAUACGACCUACGGGUGAAAGGGGGCGCAAGCUCUUGCUAUUAGAUGAGCCUAAAUCAGAUUAGCUAGUUGGUGGGGUAAAGGCCCACCAAGGCGACGAUCUGUAACUGGUCUGAGAGGAUGAUCAGUCACACCGGAACUGAGACACGGUCCGGACUCCUACGGGAGGCAGCAGUGGGGAAUAUUGGACAAUGGGGGCAACCCUGAUCCAGCCAUGCCGCGUGUGUGAAGAAGGCCUUUUGGUUGUAAAGCACUUUAAGCAGGGAGGAGAGGCUAAUGGUUAAUACCCAUUAGAUUAGACGUUACCUGCAGAAUAAGCACCGGCUAACUCUGUGCCAGCAGCCGCGGUAAUACAGAGGGUGCGAGCGUUAAUCGGAAUUACUGGGCGUAAAGCGAGUGUAGGUGGCUCAUUAAGUCACAUGUGAAAUCCCCGGGCUUAACCUGGGAACUGCAUGUGAUACUGGUGGUGCUAGAAUAUGUGAGAGGGAAGUAGAAUUCCAGGUGUAGCGGUGAAAUGCGUAGAGAUCUGGAGGAAUACCGAUGGCGAAGGCGGCUUCCUGGCAUAAUAUUGACACUGAGAUUCGAAAGCGUGGGUAGCAAACAGGAUUAGAUACCCUGGUAGUCCACGCCGUAAACGAUGUCUACUAGCCGUUGGGGUCCUUGAGACUUUAGUGGCGCAGUUAACGCGAUAAGUAGACCGCCUGGGGAGUACGGCCGCAAGGUUAAAACUCAAAUGAAUUGACGGGGGCCCGCACAAGCGGUGGAGCAUGUGGUUUAAUUCGAUGCAACGCGAAGAACCUUACCUGGUCUUGACAUAGUGAGAAUCCUGCAGAGAUGCGGGAGUGCCUUCGGGAAUUCACAUACAGGUGCUGCAUGGCUGUCGUCAGCUCGUGUCGUGAGAUGUUGGGUUAAGUCCCGCAACGAGCGCAACCCUUUUCCUUAUUUGCCAGCGGGUUAAGCCGGGAACUUUAAGGAUACUGCCAGUGACAAACUGGAGGAAGGCGGGGACGACGUCAAGUCAUCAUGGCCCUUACGACCAGGGCUACACACGUGCUACAAUGGUAGGUACAGAGGGUUGCUACACAGCGAUGUGAUGCUAAUCUCAAAAAGCCUAUCGUAGUCCGGAUUGGAGUCUGCAACUCGACUCCAUGAAGUCGGAAUCGCUAGUAAUCGCAGAUCAGAAUGCUGCGGUGAAUACGUUCCCGGGCCU